AACGAACGCUGGCGGCAUGCCUAACACAUGCAAGUCGAACGAGACCUUCGGGUCUAGUGGCGCACGGGUGCGUAACGCGUGGGAACCUGCCCUUAGGUUCGGAAUAACUCCCCGAAAGGGGUGCUAAUACCGGAUAAUGUCUUCGGACCAAAGAUUUAUCGCCUUUGGAUGGGCCCGCGUUGGAUUAGCUAGUUGGUAGGGUAAAAGCCUACCAAGGCGACGAUCCAUAGCUGGUCUGAGAGGAUGAUCAGCCACACUGGAACUGAGACACGGCCCAGACUCCGACGGGAGGGAGCAGUGGGGAAUAUUGGACAAUGGGCGAAAGCCUGAUCCAGCAAUGCCGCGUGAGUGAUGAAGGCCGUAGGGUUGUAAAGCUCUUUUACCCGGGAUGAUAAUGACAGUACCGGGAGAAUAAGCUCCGGCUAACUCCGUG
rnacentral:rRNA from 1 species